rnacentral:rRNA from 1 species
GGACGGGUGAGUAACACGUGGGUAACCUGCCUGUAAGACUGGGAUAACUCCGGGAAACCGGGGCUAAUACCGGAUGGUUGUUUGAACCGCAUGGUUCAGACAUAAAAGGUGGCUUCGGCUACCACUUACAGAUGGACCCGCGGCGCAUUAGCUAGUUGGUGAGGUAACGGCUCACCAAGGCCACGAUGCGUAGCCGACCUGAGAGGGUGAUCGGCCACACUGGGACUGAGACACGGCCCAGACUCCUACGGGAGGCAGCAGUAGGGAAUCUUCCGCAAUGGACGAAAGUCUGACGGAGCAACGCCGCGUGAGUGAUGAAGGUUUUCGGAUCGUAAAGCUCUGUUGUUAGGGAAGAACAAGUGCCGUUCAAAUAGGGCGGCACCUUGACGGUACCUAACCAGAAAGCCACGGCUAACUACG